rnacentral:rRNA from 1 species
GAUGAACGCUGGCGGCAUGCCUAAUACAUGCAAGUCGAACGGGAUAUCUUCGGAUAUCCAGUGGCGAACGGGUGAGUAACACGUAGGUAACCUGCCCAUGUGCCCGGGAUAACGCCUGGAAACGGGUGCUAAAACCGGAUAGGUAUCGCUUCUGCAUGGAAGAGAUAUUAAAGGAGCUGCAAGGCUCUGAACAUGGAUGGACCUGCGGUGCAUUAGCUGGUUGGUGAGGUAACGGCCCACCAAGGCGACGAUGCAUAGCCGGCCUGAGAGGGUGAACGGCCACAUUGGGACUGAGACACGGCCCAAACUCCUACGGGAGGCAGCAGUAGGGAAUUUUCGUCAAUGGGGGCAACCCUGAACGAGCAAUGCCGCGUGAGUGAGGAAGGUCUUCGGGUCGUAAAGCUCUGUUGCAGGAGAAAAACGGCAGAUAUAGGAAAUGAUAUCUGAGUGAUGGUAACCUGCCAGAAAGUCACGGCUAACUACGUGCCAGCAGCCGCGGUAAUACGUAGGUGGCGAGCGUUAUCCGGAAUGAUUGGGCGUAAAGGGUGCGUAGGUGGCCUUAUAAGUCUGGAGUGAAAGGCGGCAGCUCAACUGCCGUAUGCUCUGGAAACUGUGAGGCUGGAGUGCAGGAGAGGGCGAUGGA